UACAGAGGGGGCAAGCGUUAUUCGGAAUUAUUGGGCGUAAAGGGCGCGUAGGCGGCCUGGCAAGUGGAAGGUGGAAUCCCUCGGCUUAACCGAGGAACUGCCGUCCAAACUGCUUGGCUUGAGUCCGGGAGAGGUGAGUGGAAUUCCCAGUGUAGCGGUGAAAUGCGUAGAUAUUGGGAGGAACACCGGUGGCGAAGGCGGGUCUCUGGGCCGAUACUGACGCUGAGGAGCGAAAGCGUGGGGAGCGAACAGG
rnacentral:rRNA from 1 species